rnacentral:rRNA from 1 species
UAGCGUAGGGGGCGAGCGUUGUUCCGGAAUACUGGGCGUAAAGCGCACGUAGGUGGUACGUCAAGUUCGGCGUGAAAAUCUCCCAGGCUCAACCUUGGAGGGGUCGUCGAAGACUGGCGAACUAGGGUCUGGCAGAGGCCGGUAGGAAUUCCCGGUGGAGCGGUGAAAUGCGUAGAGAUCGGGAGGAAUACCAGUGGCGAAGGCGGCCGGCGUGGGCCACGACCGACACUGAGGUGCGAAAGCGUGGGGAGCGAACCGGG